rnacentral:rRNA from 1 species
GUUCCAGCAGCCGCGGUAAGACAGAGGGUGCAAACGUUGUUCGGAAUUACUGGGCGUAAAGCGCGUGUAGGCGGCUUGGCAAGUCGGGUGUGAAAGCCCUGGGCUCAACCUAGGAAGUGCACUCGAAACUGCCUCGCUGGAGUGCCGGAGAGGAAAGCGGAAUUCUCGGUGUAGAGGUGAAAUUCGUAGAUAUCGAGAGGAACACCGGUGGCGAAGGCGGCUUUCUGGACGGUUACUGACGCUGAGACGCGAAAGCGUGGGGAGCAAACAGGAUUAGAAACCCGGGUAGUCC